GGGUGAGUAACACGUAUCCAACCUGCCGUCUACUCUUGGACAGCCUUCUGAAAGGAAGAUUAAUACAAGAUGGCAUCAUGAGUCCACAUGUUCACAUGAUUAAAGGUAUUCCGGUAGACGAUGGGGAUGCGUUCCAUUAGAUAGUAGGCGGGGUAACGGCCCACCUAGUCUUCGAUGGAUAGGGGUUCUGAGAGGAAGGUCCCCCACAUUGGAACUGAGACACGGUCCAAACUCCUACGGGAGGCAGCAGUGAGGAAUAUUGGUCAAUGGGCGAGAGCCUGAACCAGCCAAGUAGCGUGAAGGAUGACUGCCCUAUGGGUUGUAAGCUUCUUUUAUAAAGGAAUAAAGUCGGGUAUGCAUACCCGUUUGCAUGUACUUUAUGAAUAAGGAUCGGCUAACUCCGUGCCAGCAGCCGCGGUAAUACGGAGGAUCCGAGCGUUAUCCGGAUUUAUUGGGUUUAAAGGGAGCGUAGAUGGAUGUUUAAGUCAGUUGUGAAAGUUUGCGGCUCAACCGUAAAAUUGCAGUUGAUACUGGAUAUCUUGAGUGCAGUUGAGGCAGGCGGAAUUCGUGGUGUAGCGGUGAAAUGCUUAGAUAUCACGAAGAACUCCGAUUGCGAAGGCAGCCUGCUAAGCUGCAACUGACAUUGAGGCUCGAAAGUGUGGGUAUCAAACAGGAUUAGAUACCCUGGUAGUCCACACGGUAAACGAUGAAUACUCGCUGUUUGCGAUAUACUGCAAGCGGCCAAG
rnacentral:rRNA from 1 species